ACUUCUAGGGAAGAGAGGCUACCUGCUUCUGUCAGUUCUGGAGUAGACUCUAGAAUUCCUCCCAAACCUGACUCAAUUAGAAAGGCUUGAGAAAGCCAGAACUGCCCCUUGGAAGGUGAACCUUUGAAUCCUGGGCAUGUGCCAGAGAGCUGGGAAGAAACCAACUUAAUUCAAGUUGGUCAGAGAUUCCCGUGUGGAUGGACAGAAUGGCUGGGGCUCUCCUCACUUGUUUACUGGCCACAGCACUGCUUUCAGGAAGGUCUUAGUGGAGAUCCCUGGACUGAGAACUGCAGCCUGGGAGGAGAGGGGACGACUGAGGAGCAGGGGAGCAGCUGUGGAAAGCUGGGUGUUCUGCAGAUGCAUCCCACAAGCUUGGGUUGGUAUCCUCACCAGAAGUAUGACCUGAGGCCCUACUGUGUGCCAGCACCUAUGCUGGGCACUUGGACAUGAAUCCUCCCUGUGAGGAGCUCACAUUCCAUCUGGGAGAACAAAUGAGGAGAUGACAGUGUCCCACAGAUGAUUAUUUCAGAAACUGGAAUCCCAACAAGCCCUUUGA
rnacentral:sRNA from 1 species